rnacentral:rRNA from 1 species
GUAGGGAAUAUUGGACAAUGGGCGAAAGCCUGAUCCAGCCAUGCCGCGUGAUAGAUGAAGGCCCUCUGGGUUGUAAAUAUCUUUUAUCUGGGAAGAAACUCCUCUAUUCUUAGAGGCCUGAUGGUACCAGAGGAAUAAGCACCGGCUAACUCCGUGCCAGCAGCCGCGGUAAUACGGAGGGUGCAAGCGUUAUCCGGAUUCACUGGGUUUAAAGGGUGCGUAGGCGGGUUGAUAAGUCAGUGGUGAAAGCUCCGGGCUUAACUUGGAAACUGCCAUUGAUACUGUCAGUCUUGAAUGUCGUAGAGGUAAGCGGAAUGUUGCAUGUAGCGGUGAAAUGCUUAGAUAUGUUACAGAACACCAAUUGCGAAGGCAGCUUACUAUGCGAUAAUUGACGCUGAGGCACGAAAGCGUGGGGAGCAAACAGGAUUAGAAACCCCGGUAGUCC